AGCCCCGUAGCAUAGCGGCCAAGUGCGCCGGCCUUUGGAGCCGGUGGCCCCGGUUCGAAUCCGGGCGGGGCUA
rnacentral:tRNA from 1 species